rnacentral:rRNA from 1 species
AGUGAACGCUGGCGGCGUGCCUAAUACAUGCAAGUCGAACGGAGUGGCGCACGGGUGAGUAAUAUAUAGCUAAUCUGCCCCUUGCUGGAGGACAACAGUUAGAAAUGACUGCUAAUACUCCAUAGCAAGGGAUGAGACUAUAUCGUAUCAGCUAGUCGGUGGGGUAACGGCCUACCGAGGCUAUGACGCGUAACUGGUCUGAGAGGAUGAUCAGGCACAUGGGAAGUGAGACACGGUCCAGACUCCUUCGGGAGGCAGCGGUAGGGAGUAGCGCGCAAUGGGGGAAUCCGUGACGCAGCAACGGGGCGUGGAGGAUGAUACUUUUCGGAGCGUAAACUCAUGUUGUUAGGGAAGCGGUACCUGACGAAUAAGCACCGGCUAACUCCGUGCCAGCAGCCGCGGUAAUUC